rnacentral:misc_RNA from 1 species
AACAUCGCGCACCUGCGGGAACCUGCGGAAGGAUCAUUAAUGAUUGGUGGCUGUUGCUGACUAGUGUUUCUAGUAUGUGCACGCCACACCUUCAAUCCCACUUACACCUGUGCACCUUCUGUAAUAGAUCUAUGCGGAUACGGAGAUAUGAAAGUUUGCGCUCUCGUACUCUGUUGAAGCAGUCUACUACGUUUUUUUACACACACACAAUAGUCAUUGAAUGUAUUUUUUAUUCUUAUG